UUGUUGACUCCAGCAUAAUCAUAUAUAAAAUGAUGAAUCCAGCGUAAAAGAAUGACUUUUAUUCUUGUCCAGUAUGGCAUAUAUAUAUAUAUAUCUCAAUAAAUAACGCAUGCAAAUAUCAGCAAUAACAUAGUAUAACCAUAAAUUGUAAUAGUAAGAUGCUGGCCUUCCGAACCCCAGAUGUAACUUAUAUAUACAGAUUUACAAGACUUUAUCCUAUCAAUCAUACAAUAAUGAGAGAAUGAAAUAUACUUAUUUCAUUAAAUUACGAUAUAGAAAGUUGUCAACGUGGUGGGACAUCGUAUCUUUACAUCUUUAAUAAUUUGUAUAAUUUGCCAAAAACUGCUAUUAGAAAUUGUAAACAUUGAACUGGUUCCUCAUCUUGUCU
rnacentral:lncRNA from 1 species